rnacentral:tRNA from 1 species
AAUGAGAUGCCUGAAACCCUAAGGACUAUUUUGAUAGAAUAGAAUAUGUAAGUAAUUACUCUCAUUA